AUUGAACGCUGGCGGCAGGCCUAACACAUGCAAGUCGAGCGGAUGAAGGGAGCUUGCUCCUGGAUUCAGCGGCGGACGGGUGAGUAAUGCCUAGGAAUCUGCCUGGUAGUGGGGGAUAACGUCCGGAAACGGGCGCUAAUACCGCAUACGUCCUGAGGGAGAAAGUGGGGGAUCUUCGGACCUCACGCUAUCAGAUGAGCCUAGGUCGGAUUAGCUAGUUGGUGGGGUAAAGGCCUACCAAGGCGACGAUCCGUAACUGGUCUGAGAGGAUGAUCAGUCACACUGGAACUGAGACACGGUCCAGACUCCUACGGGAGGCAGCAGUGGGGAAUAUUGGAGCAUGGGCGAAAGCCUGAUCCAGCCAUGCCGCGUGUGUGAAGAAGGUCUUCGGAUUGUAAAGCACUUUAAGUUGGGAGGAAGGGCAGUAAGUUAAUACCUUGCUGUUUUGACGUUACCAACAGAAUAAGCACCGGCUAACUACGUG
rnacentral:rRNA from 1 species